CGGAAGACUUAGGCGGGGGACUAGGCCUCCCCUGAGGAAUAUGUCCGACCGCAAACGGUCUAUAUGGCGGGCUGAGAAGCCGGCAUGAGGCUUCUCCAUGACCAUGCUGAGGUAGUUAAGCAUCUAUGAUCACACGCCCCAUGGAGACAUGGCAAAGCUAGUCCCUUCGGAGGAAGGGAUUAAGCUUGAACAGACGAAACGGGUUAGGCUAGGAAUAGAGCGGCCCUAAGUCUGGGCCAUGUCGUUCAUGGGUAGCGGAUGUGAGACUGCUGACUACCAAACGGUGGUUAUGGAGAUUUCGAGUGCCGGUGUCUUCCG
rnacentral:SRP_RNA from 1 species